rnacentral:piRNA from 1 species
AGAAAAAAUACCAUUCAUAGUGUCU